rnacentral:lncRNA from 10 species
CAGGAUGCGGUGGGUGAACGUGGGGAAGUGAGCCAGGAAAAGGAAGAAAGCCAUUGAGGCUGCACUAAUAAUGGGUUACUUUUUGAGGGUGACUGGAGCUCACUCUUAUUAAGAUCCUUCUAAGAAACUGUGGAAAAUAAUCCCAACAUUUCCCACCAAGAGGUGAGAAAGCUGGGUCAUUAUCAGUUUCAGCUCUGGUUGACAGUCUCUGAGACAUUAACUCCCUGGUACUUCCAGCCUGCCCCAUGUGUGAGCCAAGCACAGUCCUGGGCUGGAGAGUGCCUGCGGGCUGAGAGGCACAGGAAGCCAGUGGACAGUAAGGGAGUUGUCUUCAGAUGACCUCCAGGGUGUGUCAAGGGGAUAUGGGCAGGGCAUGAGUGCAUCUUUCACAGCACGUCCUUUGUAUUGCUUAUUAACGUGCCCAUGUUAAGUUCACUCUGUCACUAAUUCUUUAAAAUGGCCUUAAUCAUACCCCUGAUGGAAGGAUGUAACAGCAGGGUGGUUGGUGGGAUGCUGCUGCAGUUGUUCCCAGGCUGUGGGGAUAUUCAUCCUCUCCUUCACAGAAUGUUCAUUCUGGAAUCCCC